UUUUAACUGUUGUCUGUUAAAUGUUUCUUAAUUAACGAAAAACUGCUCAUUAUUCGUCGAACAUGACUUAUUUAUCAUUUUUUACCUUAUGUUCGUUUAAAUAUUACACUGUUAUUUGUGAAUUUAUUUUAUUUUUGAAAAUUGCCAUGUAUUUAAUCGUAUUACGGUGUACGGAUCUACAUAUUAUAUCGUAUUUACUUGAUUGGCUGUGCAGACAAACUGUUAAUUUAUGUUAUAAGCCAGCUUGAAGAAAUUUACAGAAAAAAUCUAAACAUGAUCAACAAACUGCGAUAUACAAAAUUGUUUUUUGCUGAAGGCAAAUGCUCUCCUUGAUUUAUUUUUCCUGGCUAUUACCUCGGAACAACUUUUGUUGGUCUCUGCACAAAAUGAUAUCUAAAAAAGAUUUGUUCCAGAUGACAAUAGUUGGCAGUAUAAAUGCAAACUUCUGUAGAUGUAUGAAUUAUGUGACGGAAAGAGGAAAUAUUAAGAGGACACCGAACAAGUAUUUUUGUAUUAAAAUUAAUGUGUCCGAUUUCAAAUGCUGUGAAGCCUUUUAUGAAAAUAGACCCAUAAGCAAAUGAAUAUUACUGUAUUACGAUAUUUUUGGUAAGCUGUAAUUCUCGCUUUUUGGUACUAUUUUCAAAAUCAGAUCCCAUCAAGACAUCAUUGAAUUCUUUAUGUUUUAAAUGAAAUGACAGUGAUAGUCUGACAAUAUAAAUAACAACUAAUAAAGAAUCCUCAUUAUUAUAUCACAAGUAUACACAACAGUUGAAGCUCUAAAUUUAGAUUUUGCGAAAAAAGUUUGGCUUUUAGUCUAUUGGAAACCAUAGAACGAGCAACAUCAGAUCAAAGGCCUGAUGAUGAAAUUUGCAAAUACACUGCAACAUUGGCGGACCAGUCAAUCUAUCCAUGUGGCAAGAUGUGUAAACAGUGUAAAUGCAAUACCACAAACAAUUAAGGCAUGGAAGAUCGGAUCUAAAGAAAACAUUUGCACUGAUUACUGGUUACUGCUGUGGUUGUGAUACAUUAAGACAGAUACACUUUUUGUACAACAUGAGAGUACAAGAAAUAGCGUCAUAGCGUACAAAAUGAACAGCCUACUAUGAGAGUAUCUUUAUAAUUAAAUUUGAUGAAAUGUGUCAUCUUCGCCUUUAGGUAAUCUUUGGAAAUAUUUCAUGGAUACGGGACUUGCAUUGUAUUGUUUAAAGUAAAAGCAAAAUAAAAAAAUGUUUUGAAAAAAAUGUCAUUUAUAGAUGUCAAUUUGAUAGCUUACCUGCUGAUACAAUAUAAAAAAGGCCAUAAAUAGAAAAAAUUACAGUUUGUGGCUGUGACUGUCGGCUGGAAUCAAUCCAAGAAAAUAGGUUACCGCUUAAUAUACAUAACAAAUAUUACACGUAAGUAAUAUAGUAAUAAUAAAUAAACAAAAUUCACUUGUAGACAAAUGUUAGGGUAAUUCCUAUUACUAGAGGUACUCGAUAACGAACAUUUUUAAAAUGGUAAAUGAGAAACUUAUUUUUUUUUUGUCUUUGUUCUCAGACCACUUUUUAUUUAAUAGGUAGUGUUUUUAGAGACAGGUCUAAGAUCGAUAGCAUUAUUUACAUUUAUACAAAUUAUAUAAUUUUAGGCGUUCAAGAACAUGUCGACUAUUAAUUGUCAGAGACAGGUAAAGAGUGGUUACUACCCCCCAUUCUCUUUGGCCCUGCCUAGAUCCUUUUAAAUUAUUAUAA